rnacentral:rRNA from 1 species
UACGAAGGGGGCUAGCGUUGCUCGGAAUCACUGGGCGUAAAGCGCGCGUAGGUGGUUCGUUAAGUUGGAUGUGAAAUCCCCGGGCUCAACCUGGGAACUGCAUUCAAAACUGUCGAGCUAGAGUAUGGUAGAGGGUGGUGGAAUUUCCUGUGUAGCGGUGAAAUGCGUAGAUAUAGGAAGGAACACCAGUGGCGAAGGCGACCACCUGGACUGAUACUGACACUGAGGUGCGAAAGCGUGGGGAGCAAACAGG